rnacentral:rRNA from 1 species
GGNCCAUUACUGACGCUCAUGGACGAAAGCCAGGGGAGCGAAAGGGAUUAGAUACCCCUGUAGUCCUGGCCGUAAACGAUGAACACUAGGUGUCGGGGGAAUCGACCCCUUCGGUGUCGUAGCUAACGCGUUAAGUGUUCCGCCUGGGGAGUACGCACGCAAGUGUGAAACUCAAGGGAAUUGACGGGGGCCCGCACAAGCGGUGGAGUAUGUGGUUUAAUUCGAUGCAACGCGAAGAACCUUACCAGGGUUUGACAUCCUGCGAACCUCUUAGAAAUUUGAGGGUGCCUUCGGGAAUGCAGUGACAGGUGGUGCAUGGCUGUCGUCAGCUCGUGUCGUGAGAUGUUGGGUUAAGUCCCGCAACGAGCGCAACCCACGUUUUUAGUUGCCAGCAUUUAGUUGGGCACUCUAGAAAGACCGCCGGUGAUAAACCGGAGGAAGGUGUGGAUGACGUCAAGUCAUCAUGCCCCUUACACCCUGGGCUACACACGUACUACAAUGCUACGGACAAAGGGCAGCAAACUCGCGAGAGCUAGCAAAUCCCAUAAACCGUGGCUCAGUUCAGAUCGUAGGCUGCAACUCGCCUACGUGAAGUAGGAAUCGCUAGUAAUCGCAGGUCAGCAUACUGCGGUGAAUACGUUCCCGGGCCUUGUACACACCGCCCGUCACACCAUGGAAGUUGGCCAUGCCCGAAGUCGUUACUCCAACCCUUGUGGAGGAGGACGCCGAAGGUGGGGCUAAUGACUGGGGUGAAGUCGUAACAAGGUAGCC